rnacentral:sRNA from 1 species
CUUGGUCAUUUAGAGGAAGUAAAAGUCGUAACAAGGUUUCCGUAGGUGAACCUGCGGAAGGAUCACUAAAGUAAACGCCCUCCGGGGCUCUCUUUAUUCACACACCCCUGUGCACUUUGGCCACCUGCCGCGCUUAACUGCGUUAGUAGGUGUGUCUCUUUAUUUAUACCCAUAUACACAAGUCAUUGAAUGUAAAAUCGUUAUAAACUAAUAUAACUUUCAACAACGGAUCUCUUGGUUCUCGCAUCGAUGAAGAACGCAGCGAAUUGCGAUAAGUAAUGUGAAUUGCAGAAUUCAGUGAAUCAUCGAAUCUUUGAACGCAUCUUGCGCUCUUUGGUAUUCCGAAGAGCAUGCCUGUUUGAGUGUCAUGAAACUCUCACCUCCAGCCUUCUUUAAUUAGAGGUGUUGGGGCGUGGACGUGAGUGCUGCUGGUGCCCUGGUUGCAUCGGCUCACUUGAAAUACAUUAGCUGAAUCCUCUAGAGGUGGUUCUACUCGACGUGAUAAGAUCUCCGUCGAGGACAGUGCAACUUGUUGUGCUGGCCGCCGCUAGCAGUUGAUACGCUUCUAAUUAGCGCAGACUUCGAGUGCUGGCAACUUUUGACGACUUGGCCUCAAAUCAGGUAGGACUACCCACUGAACUUAAGCAUAUCAAUAAGUGGAGGAAAAGAAACUAACAAGGAUUCCCCUAGUAACGGCGAGUGAAGCGGGAAGAGCUCAAAUUUAAAAUCUGGCAGGCUACGCUUGUCCGAAUUGUAAUCUCGAGAAGUGUUUUCCGCGUUGGCCUGUGUACAAAGUCCCUUGGAACAGGCGUCAUAGAGGGUGAGAAUCCCGUCCUUGACACAGACACCCAAUGCUUUGUGAUACACUCUCAAUGAGUCGAGUUGUUUGGGAAU